rnacentral:rRNA from 1 species
UACGUAGGGUGCAAGCGUUGUCCGGAAUUAUUGGGCGUAAAGAGCUCGUAGGUGGCCUGUCGCGUCGGCUGUGAAAACUCGGGGCUCAACUCCGAGCUUGCAGUCGAUACGGGCAGGCUAGAGUUCGGCAGGGGAGACUGGAAUUCCUGGUGUAGCGGUGAAAUGCGCAGAUAUCAGGAGGAACACCGGUGGCGAAGGCGGGUCUCUGGGCAGUUACUGACGCUGAGGAGCGAAAGCAUGGGGAGCGAACAGG